rnacentral:lncRNA from 1 species
CAGCCUUGAUUAUUUGUUAAACAAACAAGAAACAGUUGGCAUGUUCUUGUGAACUCCACAAGACCAACCUAUAUAAUGCAUUGUCAUUCUCUUCUCCAUUCAUAAUUUAAGUGGCAAAGCACAGUUCUAACUCUAUCCCUAUUGUGUUAAGCACUUCAGAAAAAGCUUCGAAAACGUGAUGGAGAGUUUCAAGAUUGCUAGAGUUUUUACCGUUUGCAUUAUGGUUCUUGUUGCUUUCUUCAAUUUGGGGAGCCUCAGCGGCGCUUGAAGACGUUGCAGCACCUGCACCAUCACCAACAAGUGCUGGAACUGCGUUGUUCGUACCAGCAGCACUUGCUCUAGGGGCUUCUCUCGUUGCUUAUAUCUUUUAAUCAUUUUGUUUAUCGAAUCUUUGGUAUCUGCUGAUGUCCUGUAUGCCCACC